AAUGAAGUGCCUGAGAAAAAGGGUCAUUUUGAUAGAAUGAAAAAUGCAAUCUAAUUGCCUUUAUUA
rnacentral:tRNA from 1 species